GGAGAGGUGCCGGAGUGGCCGAUCGGGCUCGCCUGCUAAGCGAGUGUACUGCGUCAAGCGGUACCGGGGGUUCGAAUCCCCCCUUCUCCGCCA
rnacentral:tRNA from 1 species